UUUACGCUGAAAAUGCAAGUAUAUGGAUUGUGAACACGACCAUGCAGACUACUAAAUUUUGUAACAUGGACUAUGUAAACAGUACAACAGCUCAAUACACAAAUUUUUCAAGAAUAUAUUUCUUUGGAAACACCGUGCGAAGAGAUGACCUACAAGGAAUCUUUACGCUGCGCAACGGAAAAAGAAACAAUGACACGAUAUAUAAUACAAUGGUCGUGCGCCGGCAAGACGGCACUGGCGGCAACACAUCAAUUGAGACACUAAUGUACCCCUCCCAAAAUUAUGAAUGCGGCGUCUUUGCUGUAUUUCUCCUGCCAAAAUACACAGGGCCUUACUAUGAUAUCCGUGUGAAGCAAGAAACAAUUAAACAUCUCGAUUCGAGCUGCGUACGUUAUUAUCAGCGGCUGACGGAAGGAAAGACAAUCAGAACCACAUAUAAUCAUUCUUGCCAGGACACGCGGUAGCAGUGCGUAAGUAGAGGGUGCUACACGUAACUUGAUUGAAAUAAUA